CUGCCUCUUGGCCCUACCUUUAGGGUAGAAGAACCGAUGUACCAUGUUUGGCAGCAAGUGAGGGUGUGCCAGGACCAGGUGGACCAGCCAGCAACCUCAGCUACUCAAGGAAGCUGGGAUGGCCAGUUUCCUACAGCCUGAGUGGCUGCCUCCUGAUAACUGAUGGAGCAGAGGCCUUAGGAAAAGCAGAUGGCCCUGUGGCCCUACCUUUAGGGUAGAAGUACUGAUGUGCCAUGUGCAGCAGCAAGUGAGGUUGGUGGCUGGUGCAGCGGCUCCUGGCACACCCUCGCAGAGGUGACUGGUUGCUCUUUGAGACAGCUUGGCCUUGCCCGGCAUGCACAAGCCUCAGUGCAACAACUGUGCUACAAAUGGAGCCACAGAGAGGAAAUGAGCAGCAGGCUCAGGAGCAGGGUGUGCGCUGCCUUUGGGGCUCCAGUCCAUGCCUCAGGGGUCAUAUGACACUGUGGGCUUCUUGGUUACCAGGAGGCACACAACAGGCCGUCUCGAGGAGGACUUCAUGUUCAAGUGCAGAAAGCAGCCAGGAUUACCAUCCAGGGGACUCGGCCUUCU
rnacentral:lncRNA from 1 species